CGUGGGGUUCCAUCUCAUGACCUGAGCUAAAGGGAAAUGCUUAACCGACUGAGCCACCCAGUGGUCUGAACCAAACCCAUGAUAUGGCCAAGAUAUUCUGUAUAAAGAAAACCUGCUCUUCCUAUUCAGAUCACCUGUGAAGCUGAUGCCAUAGAGAAGCUAUUCGGGCCUCCCAGAAACCCUGAGACAUAAAGUCAGAAGUGCCUAAAGGGACCUGCUGGAAGAAGUCUCCCCUCCAUCCCCAUCAAACUAAGCAAUUUAUCUUAUACAGAAGUGUUCUAGAGAGAGGAUAAGGAGUCCCCACAUAGAGAGACAACUUGAAGCACUGUUGAUCACCCAUAUGGCUGUCAAAGUAAAAGAUAACCCAGAUAGAUUCAUGCUUCCCAUGUGAAGCCAGCUCCUCAGGAGGACUAGACUGGCUGCCACAAGAGCUUUGAAACUUAAAUUUUCCUGAGUGACUGAUAUUGGUACUGAACUCAGCUGAAAGGAGGAAUUCUAGUGAACGCAAUACAAUUCUCAGACUGCCUUGUUGUUUUGUUCACAGUAGUAGGUAUUUCAGUUACUAUAAGAAAUACAUUUUACUAGAAAACAAACAUGUUAUUUGUUACAUUACUUUUUCUUUCUGUACUCCCAAUGAUGGUUCCUAAAGCUCUAAAUUUUACUCCCAGUAUGGAUACAGCCUGGGCUUGUAAAUCCAACAAUCCGAUUGUUGGCAGAAUAAAAAUAAGACCAUCUUCAUUACUAAGUUGUUUUUAUAAUAUUAGAUUAAACAAAUAUGCAUCAUACUCGGGCCCCAAAUUUGACACAACAAAAUGUUUUGUUGACUUGUUUGAUUAGAAGGGUGGUAUAGAAAAGGAUCUGAUUAAUAGAAAAACAGAAAUCUGGCAUUCAUGGAUAGAAACUACAGAAUGUUGUGCCCAAGAUUGCAAAUCCGAGAAACCACCAAGGAGCCGACACCGAUGUAAUCACACGAGGGUUUAAUCACAAGCUCGAGCGUGGGUCCAAGUGUACCCGGCACAGCAGAGCAGAGACUUGGACCCCGAGACUAAGAAGUAUAGUAGUGUUAUAGGGGUCCGUGGCCAAUGAGAUUGUAACAUACAUAGAAAGUUGCACAGUCAUGUCGGUCCACACACAGGUGGCCAAUUGAAUUCUGAUUCACCCUAUAGUGACCAUUUGAACUAGCCUAUUAUUCUGGUUAGAAUUGGCACGCAGGUUUGGUGGGCAAAAGAGGGGUUUUCAUUCCUUGGCGGUUAAAGGUCAGAGGUCCUGCAUUCCUGUGUGUGCUAGUUUCUGAUAAGGGUGUGCUUAAUAGCUAAACUAGGGUGAGGGAGUGCCUUAAACAAUAGGCAGGUCGUGUGGGGGGUUUUACAUGAGAUGGCGGGUGUAGCACAAAAUGGAGUUAGUUCUGCUCUGCUUGUCCAGGGGUAGGGGAUUUUUGUUAGAUUUCCUGGGUCCCACACAGAAGAUAGGUCCUAUGUCACUGUUAACCACUUUGGGAUACAAGUUUUUUCCAGUCCUAGAAAGAUAAACUUGCCUGUUGGAUUACAAUAAUUACUUAAAUAUUCAGAGAUGACUACAGAUUUGGAUGGAGGUGAAAAAUGGCCCAUAGGUUGGAUUUGUCCUCAGACUUAAAAUGAGAGCCAUGUACACUAAAUUCUGGAAGUUGAAGGGGAGCAGAAUCUGCUAACCCAAAAUAUGCCUCUUUCAUAUAAGGGUUGUCUUUAACUAGUUAGUUUUAAGAAAUAACAGACAUAGGAGAAGCUCUAAAAACCAGAAGUUACUGUUUUGUACAAAACGCUUAAAUAUAUAAGAGAAAUCUCCAUUUGUAAGGCUGUCUCCCUCUCUGUACCAGGAGGAAGAUGAUGACUAAAUCUCUAAAAACCUUGUAUCAGGGGAGAAGGUAGUGACUGAAAUCUGCAUAACAACCAUACUCUCAUUUACUGUGCUUUUCCAUGAUAACUGGUUCCUCCCCCCUCACCCCACAACAUUUUCUUUUUUUUUUUUUUUGUUUUGUUUUGUUUUGUUUUGUUUUGUUUUUUCCCACAACAUUUUCUUUUGCCUUUAGCUGGAGAUAGUAUAUAAAAUGAUGGCGUGGGCCAUUUCAGAGUUACUCAGUUCUGGGUAUCUCCCAUGUGUAUAAGAGGUAUAUGUAUUAUUAAACUUCUGUUUGUUUUUCUCUUGUUAAUCUGUCUUUUAUUACAGGAAGGUCUUAGCCAAGAACCUAUAAAGGUAAAGGAAAAAUUAUUUUUUCCUUCUGUACACACUUCAAUCUGUACCCCUGCAAUGAGUGCCUUAUAGUAGGACUUUGAUACUAGAUAACGGCCAUGAAUGUCUUUGUUUUACAUCUGGGAAAAUUAUUUGGGCAGAAGGAAUAGUUACUGAAGGGUCUAGUUUGUCCUUUAAUUGUAAUGUUACUUCUAUGAUGAAAAGGCAGGAGAAAUUUAUUUUAACAAAAAAUUUAGUUAAAAACUUAGAUUAUCAAGUUCCAGAGUUAAACUACUCAUUAGGCUUGGAUUGGAUGUGAUAUUGUAAAAAAUCACAAAUUAAGACGUUAGUUAGUUUUUUUCAAGUAGUUAAUUAUUUGAAAGUACAAACAAGACGUCACAACAGUUUGUAAAAAUUAAUGACAAAGGAGAACAUUUGUGUACUUUUGUAUUAACCAAGAAUCUGCUUUAAUCAUUCACCAAUGGUAUAAUAUACUGAAACGUUUUUCCCAAGGCAAAUACUAUACUAAUUUUUAAAACCCAUCCUACUGUAAUUCUGAUAACUGCUUUGUUGUGCAUUUUACUAUGGACUGGCUAGAUAUUUAGACUGUUGUUAGAGAAAGGUAGAAAUAGCUAUGUAGAUAAUUACAAAACUGUAGAUUUACUAAAAAGUAGAAACACAGAGAGGAAAUUAUAAGAUUAAAUACACAUGUAAAAAAAUUUAAAAUUUUUCCUAAUGUAAAAAAAGAACUUUUCUCCCUCUUCUUUUAGCAUUUCCUUCAAAAAAACUAGAAAUUAUAAAUGCCAUCUCUGCCUCUUUGAGAUAUAUGUAAAUCGAUUUAAAUAGUAAAUAAGCUUCCUGCCAGUUAUGUAUCCCAGAAAUACCAUUCUUGGGGGCCAAGGAGCCAUCUUUUUUUUUUUUUCCAAGAAGCCAUCUUUUUGAAAAAUGAACUUCAAGAAGGGCAGUGCCCUGUUUCUCUGUGACAAUUCAACUCCAAGAUGUAACUUCCUGCAUGUCAAAAGAUAUGAGAAAUUGUAUUUUUAUUUUGGUUAAAGACAAUUAACAUGUAUAUAAGGGAUUGUAUCUGCCCUGGUUAUGUAAAUAAAGUAAGAUUUCUUUUUUGUCUCUAUAAUCUCUUUAGGAGAUUACCUGUGAUGCAUCACAGUCUUUUUAAUCCUUAUUUAAUAAUAACACUGUUUCAUUAUUUCAACAUUUUGUGGAGAGAUUUCACUGCAUUGGCAGGAGAUUUUAUGUUUAAUUAUAUUUCCUCAACAUGAGUCACCUAUCUUGGGACCAAAGUCCUUCCUUGAAUCUCUAGCCCAGGGGCAAACACCUUGCAAAACUGAUCUCUAGGACUCCUCUAUUGUAGACUGCUCCAUGGCUGCCUAGAUUUUUUUUAGCUCUCUUAACCAAACUCUUAGUUAACUAAUGAGGUUAAGUGAAGCUCUCAGUCCUCUACAAAACAUAAUAAUGCCUAUAGAAUGCUUAGUGCUCAUAGCACAUAGACAAUGCUGCAGUAUUCACUCAUACAUUGAGUUUCUACUAGUUGAAUCAUAUGCUGAAGAGUCAACUACUUCAGUUCCUGACUCUGUUGUAUACCACUUGUACUUAGCAUAUGUAUUCUUUGGUGUCUGGUUUCCUUUGUUCAAUGUAAUGUUUUGAACUUAACUCAUGCUGGUGCAUGUAUCAGUUUGUUCCUUUUAUUAUGAGAGUUCCAUUUUAUUAAUAUACCACAAUGUUUUUCCAUUUAAAUGUUGAUAUACAUUUUGGUUGAUUUCCAGUAUGGGACUUUAUUUUAUUUUAUUUUAUUUUUUUAACUUAGAAAUUUAUUCUGUUUAAUCCACAAGCUUUAUAUAAGUUUAGUUUAAAAACAAAAACAAACAAACAAAAAAAGAGACAAAAACAGUGAAAACAAGACACUAUUUCAAAGUCUGGGCCCUUCCAGCCUUCCAAAUACGAGAGCUCUGAAAGUUGUAUAUACCAAUUGGAAGAACAAGACAAAAUUAUGAAUGGAGCCAUGACAUUUCAUAAAACAAACUUUUAUAUAACUGAAGGAUCCUUCCUGGGACUAGUUAAUUGCCUUUACAAAAAAAAAAAAAAAAACACAACAGAAUAGAAUGAAUUAGUAAGGGACUUUAAUAAAUAAAACUACUACAAACA